rnacentral:rRNA from 1 species
GACAGAGGGUGCAAACGUUGUUCGGAAUUACUGGGCGUAAAGCGCGUGUAGGCUGCUUCGAAAGUCGGGUGUGAAAGCCCUGGGCUCAACCUAGGAAGUGCACUCGAAACUGGACACCUGGAGUGAUGGAGAGGAGAGCGGAAUUCCCGGUGUAGAGGUGAAAUUCGUAGAUAUCGGGAGGAACACCAGUGGCGAAGGCGGCGCUCUGGACAUUUACUGACGCUGAGACGCGAAAGCGUGGGGAGCAAACAGG